UACGACUACAUAUCAGGCAUAUCAAUAAGCGGAGGAAAAGAAACUAACAAGGAUUCCCCUAGUAACGGCGAGUGAAGCGGGAAGAGCUCAAAUUUGAAAUCUUCAAGGGUUUCCCUUGACGAAUUGUAGUUUAUAGAAGUGUUUUCUGUUAGAGAGGUGGUAAAAGUUCUUUGGAAUAGGACAUCAUAGAGGGUGAGAAUCCCGUAUUUGAUCACUUUCUACUAACGUUGUGAUACACUUUCAAAGAGUCGGAUUGUUUGGGAAUGCAGUCCAAAAUGGGUGGUAAAUUUCAUCUAAAGCUAAAUAUUGGCGAGAGACCGAUAGCGAACAAGUACCGUGAGGGAAAGAUGAAAAGAACUUUGAAAAGAGAGUUAAACAGUACGUGAAAUUGUCAAAAGGGAAGCGUUUGACACCAGUGUUGUUUAGUUGAAAAUCAAUUCAAUAGUUUUUGAUUCUAAGUAGUAUUGACUUCAUCAGCUUGCUGCUUUCUUCUCAGAAAUUAUUGAAUGCACUUUUCAGUUAACAAGUCAACAUCAAUUUCUUUUGUUGUAAAAGGAUAAGAGGAAGGUGGCUUGCGCUUCGGCUCACGUGUUUAUAGCCUUUUAUCUCUGCAAUCGGAGAGAUUGAGGCCUGCAGCGUAGAUCCUUCGGGGUUAGAUUCAUUGGUGCUAAGCUAUAGCCUUGUAUAGACAACUUGUUGACUAUGCUCAGUCAUGUAGCUUACUCGCUGAUGCUAUUUUACCUACGCUUAGGAUGUUGAUCUACAGAGCGAGAGU
rnacentral:rRNA from 1 species